GACGAACGCUGGCGGCGUGCCUAAUACAUGCAAGUCGAGCGGACUGAUUAAGAGCUUGCUCUUAUGACGUUAGCGGCGGACGGGUGAGUAACACGUGGGCAACCUGCCCUGUAGAUCGGGAUAACACCGAGAAAUCGGUGCUAAUACCGGGUAAUAUCUGAGAUCACAUGAUCUUAGGUUAAAAGAUGGCUCCGGCUAUCACUACAGGAUGGGCCCGCGGCGCAUUAGCUAGUUGGUAAGGUAAUGGCUUACCAAGGCGACGAUGCGUAGCCGACCUGAGAGGGUGAUCGGCCACACUGGGACUGAGAAACGGCCCAGACUCCUACGGGAGGCAGCAGUAGGGAAUCUUCCGCAAUGGACGAAAGUCUGACGGAGCAACGCCGCGUGAGUGAUGAAGGGUUUCGGCUCGUAAAGCUCUGUUGUUAGGGAAGAAACAGUACCGAACGAACUAGGUCGGUACCUUGACGGUACCUAACCAGAAAGCCACGGCUAACUACGUG
rnacentral:rRNA from 1 species